rnacentral:rRNA from 1 species
GUGUCAGCCGCCGCGGUAAUACGGAGGGUGCAAGCGUUAUCCGGAUUUACUGGGUUUAAAGGGUGCGUAGGCGGCCUUGUAAGUCCGUGUUGAAAGGCUACGGCUUAACCGUAGUAAGGCAUGGAUACUGCGAGGCUUGAGUACAGUGGGGCAGAUGGAAUUGGUGGAGUAGCGGUGAAAUGCAUAGAUACCACCAGGAACACCGAUAGCGAAGGCAGUCUGCUACGCUGUAACUGACGCUGAGGCACGAAAGCGUGGGGAGCAAACAGGAUUAGAUACCCUGGUAGUCCACGCCGUAAACGAUGGAUACUCGGUGUCAGCCCUUGUGGGUUGGUGCCUAAGCGAAAGCGAUAAGUAUCCCACCUGGGGAGUACGUCGGCAACGAUGAAACUCAAAUGAAUUGACGGGG